GAAACUGGGGUGCCCUGAGGGGUGGAGGCAGAAGCCAGGCUGAAAGGAUGCCGUCACCCUCCUUGCCACCCUGACCGCUCGCCAUCGGCCUGCAGGCUCACGCUUGGUGUUCCCUCCAGCUCUGCAUGGCCCCUGACUACAGCCAUUUUUCCAGCUUCUUUCCCAUGGUGGUGGGGGCAGUGAGUCGAGUCCUCACCUGAUUCCUGCUAGAGCAGUGCUCACCCCCAUGGGGAAACUGAGGCUCAGAGCAAGAGUGGACUUGCAUCAGGUCCUGUAUGCAGCUAAGCCAUCAACCAGGGAACUGUCCUCUGCCUGAGGGUCCAGGAAGAAGCACGGUGCCUCAGCAGCAGCAGAGCCGGACCCCAGGGUUCCAACGAGAAACCUCAUCUGGUCAGGAGAGACCCAGUUAAUCUCAGGAAGGCUGAGAGCCCCCCACUGCUCUUCAAGGCCUUCCAGGUUGAAGGGGUCUCAAGUCCUGUGUGGCUCCCAAGGCUCACUCUGCUGACAGCCAAAACCUCUGGAGUGGAUCCAUGCUUGCUCCUCUGGAGUGGAUCCAUGCUUGCUGGCCUGGCCAAUUGAGUGGGGACUCGGGGCCCACCCUGGUGGCCCAUGGGUCCCUGAGUGUGCUGGAAGCAUUCCUGCCCUGGUUCUGGAUCCCUCCGCCUUGCAGGGCCAGAGGCUAGGUGGGCCUGGGCCUAUGCCAACUCUCAGGGUGAGCCCAGGUGACUGAGCCUCCGGACAGUGGCUCUUGGUAUCCUGAUCCCAAAGCUGGCCACCCUCCUGUAGAGAAUUGGAUGAGCUCCCGGAAACUGAGUGGGGGAAAUUUGAUGCUUUGCCGCUUUUCAGGGUUCCUUUCAGGCAAGAAUGGGAAGGGCUAAUGGAGGGCACUUGGUAAGUGCGGGUUCCAGCAGCCACAGGCUCAGCAGCCCUCCUGAGCACAGCUGGAGGGAGGCCCUGACCCCACGCGUGAGGAGGCUUGUGAGUCGUUCCAGAGCCUUCUCUGGCUGAGCAGUCAUAGGUGGGAGGCGGCUCCCUGCGGGGGGUAGGAGAGUGACCGCGGAGAACCUGCAGCUGAGUCUUAGGCGUCUGUGGGGCUGGUGUCCCAGCCUGUUCCAGGUGCAGACAUGCCCGGCUUCCCAGCCGCCCCUACCGUGCAGCUGCGCAUUCCUUCCUGAGUCAGCCCCAUGCGUCUGUGUCUUUCCCUCAGUGGAGUCACCUGCGGUGCACCCAGCCGGACCCUCUGCUAGGGUGACCCUGAGUCUGGUUCUUAGCACCCCCCAGGCUAUGCUGGUCAAGGGGCAUCCCCUUCCUCUCGCAGUACGCAGACACAGCAGCGGCCUGAGUUGGGCCCUUCUGCUCCCACCCCCGCCUGCCCAGCCUUUCAGAAGGUGAGGUCUGGAGGCGGCCGCGCCACCCUUGACUGCACGUGUCCCAGGCCACGGCUUAUUUGAUUUUCUUAGUGCUCAUGGUUUUGGUUUAAAGGAAAGGAUUCUCAGAGGUGAAGACCAGAAGCCAUGAGUGGAAAAACCCCACACAGCAGCUGGCAGCUUCUUCUCUGGCCGGCAUUCAUUUUGCAUUAAACUCAAAAUCUCAGCCUGAGGUUUGUCUCUGGGAAAGGCAAAGGCAAGAGUGCCUUCCUUCCCAUAACUGAGCUUUUCUGGGAGGAGGAGGGCUCUGCGCUCAGGGAUCCACCCCCUUGAGGGCCCCCUCAGGGCCCUGAGGCUCAGAGUGGGAGACAUGCCCGGACACACAGAGCCCACUGAAGCUGCAAGCCCGGCCAGCCCUUGGCUGGCUUGAAGGGAGCAGCGUGUACUUGGCAGCUGGGCGCCCCCCGCAUGGGGAAAGGGGAUCUGAUGAAUGACCCACGCCUCCAUGAGAAAUAGGUUAAUGCAUCAUCUCACCCGGGUAUUGGCAUUCUCGUAGAGGAGCGGAAGACAGGAAAAGCCUCUGAGAGUGAACCUCCAGCUUUGAUUGUCGGAAGGAUGAACGGGGACCUCUGGCCUCACCCUUCCGGGAGCCCCUCUCCAGCCCUGGAUCUGGGUAGGAGAUCUCUCUUCUACCUGUGUCUCUGUUCUUGCAACUGCCAGGAGCACUGCAAGCUCCCAGAUUGGGCUGAGUGGGGCCAGGUCCUUCCUGCUGUCUUCGCUGUCUGAGAUUCACUGCACCGGGCUCCCCUGCCCUCUGCAAGUUCUGAGCAGGCCUCCGGCGUUGGUACUGAAGUUCAAGCUCUAACACUUCCUGCCUCCAAUCAGCAGCCUGAAAACCUUCCUUCUUUCACUGGGCUUCCCGCUAAAGCCCAGCUCUCGAGUUAGCUGGGUUGGCCAUCAAGAGGCUACGUGGACCCUUCUGCCUAGCACUCCAUAAUCGUAUUUGGUGAGUGUCUGUGUCAGGCACUGUACUAGGGGCAGAGGCUUAGGAAUAGGGAAGGCGAGCCAUCAGAUGACCAUGUCAAGUGAAAAACAGUGUGUGGUGUGAAUGUGGGAAGAACACACUCACUUCUACCUAGAGGGGUUGAGGAAAGCAUCUCAGGCAGUUCUAGCUGCCUGGCAGCAUCCUGGGAGAAGCACCCUAUGAAUGACACACGCCUGUCAGAGGCCUGCGGGAUGCAGGGUAAGGGGGUGGGGUGAGGGUUAUUCAGCAACAGGAACCCCAAGGUGAGACACAGUGUGGGGCUGUGAAGGACUGGGGCCACGUGCCCACAGCAGGAUACGGCAGGACACCAUUAGAAGGGUCUCUUUAGAUCCCAUCCCAGAGGCAGAGAAGGGCUGCAGGGUUAUAGGGUCUUGACACUGGGGAAACUCACUUCUUAUCCAUCUGCAAACCCCGUCAGUGCCACCUCCCAAAUCAAGCUGAGCACGACAUCCCUUGACCUCACACUGGUCAUUGCCCUGUCAGGGCCAGUAUCCUCUGUGGAAUGGUGUGUACAGUGCCCAUCUGGCCUUUCUGCUCUGGCCCUGCCCUCCUGCAGCUCAGAGGGGCCCUUGGAAAGCCAAGGCAGCUGUGCUUUCCUGCAGCUUGGCACCCUCCAAGGGCCCCACCUCAUUUACAGUAAAGUCAAAAAAUGAGGUCCUGAGGUGCACCAGUCCUGCACCACAGGCCCCUGCCACCCCCACUCCUAGGUCCUAUCCCUGACCUCUGGCCUCUCUUCAGCAGCAACAGCCCCAGCUCUUCCCAGACAAACUGCACCAGCUCCUCCCUUGGGGACACUGCACUGGCUGAUUUAGCCAUGGAGAUGCCCAACAGUUGUAAUGAUGCCCCUACCUCCUUCCAGUCUUGGAUGUAGUGUCACCUUCCUGGUCUGUGGUGGGCACUCUGUGGGGGUCCCCAUGGCUCCUGCCUCCUGUGUUCAGAUCCUGGUGUAACCCAGCCCUCUGGUGUGACACGGCCUGUGUCUUGCUUCCACCCUAUAGAGUGGGCUGGCUGUGAUGUCGUGCCACACUUGUGAGUGCAUGAUGUCAUGAAAGACUGCAUUUUCCCAGCAGACUCACUCUAGGGAAGUGACCACCUGGAGCAAGUUUGCUGGAAAAACAGAAUCUUUGAUAACAUCAUGAAUAACUUUGAAUAACCAAGUUAUCCCCAUAUAGAAGGAAAUUCUGCCAACAGCCUGAGUGGGCUUGGAAGGGGAUUCUUCCCCAGUCAAGCCUCCAGAUGAGAACACAGCCCGACUGACAUCUGGAUGCUGUUUCAUGUAAGCCUAGGCAGAAAACCCAGCCAGCUUGACCAGACUCCUGAUGGCAGGACAAUGAGUUCAUAAGACGGCUCUUUCCAGCUGCUGAGUUUGUGAUAAUUUGCUUCACAGCAAUAAAAACAUUCUAUGCAUCUCAU
rnacentral:lncRNA from 1 species